GUGGUGAAAGUAGGCAUUUUUGUCUCAUUCCAUUUCACAAAGGGAAUGCUUCCACUUUUUGCCUGUUCAGCAUGAUGUCAGCUGUGGGUUUCUCAUAAAUGGCUCUUGUUAUUUUGAGGUAUGUUACUUUGAUACCUAGUUUCUUAGGGAUUUUCAUCAUGAAGGGAUGUUGCAUUUUAUUGAAAGCUUUUUCCACAUCUAUUGAGAUGAUCUUUUGGUUUUUGUUUUUAAUUCUAUUUAUGUAGUGAACUGUAUUUACUGAUUUGUGUAUGCUGAAUGAAACUUGCACCCCAGGAAUAAAGCCUACUUGAUCAUGGUUUCUACUCAACCAUGAGAAAACUAUCAUGAGUGAAGCGAGGAGGGCUUGUCUCCAUCUAGUG
rnacentral:lncRNA from 1 species